AGCGGAACGCCCCGCCCACCCAAGACAGUCUAGGAAUCUGUCUCCGAGGCCACAGCAAUCGAGAGCACGUUGGAAAUGCGCACCCCGCAAUACAACCGCCGCUUGAUCCAAGAUAGCGCAGCGGUUCAAGCUAUCGGCUCCGA
rnacentral:lncRNA from 1 species